CCUACGGGUGGCAGCAGUGGGGAAUAUUGGGCAAUGGGCGCAAGCCUGACCCAGCAACGCCGCGUGAAGGAAGAAGGCUUUCGGGUUGUAAACUUCUUUUAAGGGGGAAGAGCAGAAGACGGUACCCCUUGAAUAAGCGACGGCUAACUACGUGCCAGCAGCCGCGGCAAUAAGUAGGUGGCAAGCGUUGUCCGGAUUUACUGGGUGUAAAGGGCGUGCAGCCGGAGAGACAAGUCAGAUGUGAAAUCCACGGGCUCAACCCGUGAACUGCAUUUGAAACUGUUUCCCUGGAGUGUCGGAGAGGUAAGCGGAAUUCCUUGUGUAGCGGUGAAAUGCGUAGAUAUAAGGAAGAACACCAGUGGCGAAGGCGGAUUACUGGACGGUAACUGACGGUGAGGCGCGAAAGCGUGGGGAGCAAACAGGAUUAGAUACCCUUGUAGUC
rnacentral:rRNA from 1 species